GACGAACGCUGGCGGCGUGCCUAAUACAUGCAAGUUGAGCGCUGAAGGUUGGUACUUGUACCAACUGGAUGAGCAGCGAACGGGUGAGUAACGCGUGGGGAAUCUGCCUUUGAGCGGGGGACAACAUUUGGAAACGAAUGCUAAUACCGCAUAAAAACUUUAAACACAAGUUUUAAGUUUGAAAGAUGCAAUUGCAUCACUCAAAGAUGAUCCCGCGUUGUAUUAGCUAGUUGGUGAGGUAAAGGCUCACCAAGGCGAUGAUACAUAGCCGACCUGAGAGGGUGAGCGGCAACAUUGGGACUGAGACAGGGCCCAAACUCCUACGGGAGGCAGCAGUAGGGAAGCUUCGGCAAUGGACGAAAGUCUGACCGAGCAACGCCGCGUGAGUGAAGAAGGUUUUCGGAUCGUAAAACUCUGUUGGUAGAGAAGAACGUUGGUGAGAGUGGAAAGCUCAUCAAGUGACGGUAACUACCCAGAAAGGGACGGCUAACUACGUG
rnacentral:rRNA from 1 species